UACGGAGGAUGCGAGCGUUAUCCGGAUUUAUUGGGUUUAAAGGGAGCGUAGACGGGUUUUUAAGUCAGCUGUGAAAGUUUGGGGCUCAACCUUAAAAUUGCAGUUGAAACUGGAGACCUUGAGUACGGUUGAGGCAGGCGGAAUUCGUGGUGUAGCGGUGAAAUGCUUAGAUAUCACGAAGAACCCCGAUUGCGAAGGCAGCCUGCUAAGCCGUCACUGACGUUGAGGCUCGAAAGUGCGGGUAUCAAACAGG
rnacentral:rRNA from 1 species